rnacentral:rRNA from 1 species
GAUGAACGCUGGCGGCGUGCCUAAUACAUGCAAGUCGAGCGAACGGACGAGAAGCUUGCUUCUCUGAUGUUAGCGGCGGACGGGUGAGUAACACGUGGAUAACCUACCUAUAAGACUGGGAUAACUUCGGGAAACCGGAGCUAAUACCGGAUAAUAUUUUGAACCGCAUGGUUCAAAAGUGAAAGACGGUCUUGCUGUCACUUAUAGAUGGAUCCGCGCUGCAUUAGCUACUUGGUAAGGUAACGGCUUACCAAGGCAACGAUGCAUAGCCGACCUGAGAGGAUGAUCGGCCACACUGGAACUGAGACACGGUCCAGACUCCUACGGGAGGCAGCAGUAGGGAAUCUUCCGCAAUGGGCGAAAGCCUGACGGAGCAACGCCGCGUGAGUGAUGAAGGUCUUCGGAUCGUAAAACUCUGUUAUUAGGGAAGAACAUAUGUGUAAGUAACUGUGCACAUCUUGACGGUACCUAAUCAGAAAGCCACGGCUAACUACGUG